GUUAAGCGACUAAGCGUACACGGUGGAUGCCCUGGCAGUCAGAGGCGAUGAAGGACGUGCUAAUCUGCGAUAAGCGUCGGUAAGGUGAUAUGAACCGUUAUAACCGGCGAUUUCCGAAUGGGGAAACCCAGUGUGAUUCGUCACACUAUCAUUAACUGAAUCCAUAGGUUAAUGAGGCGAACCGGGGGAACUGAAACAUCUAAGUACCCCGAGGAAAAGAAAUCAACCGAGAUUCCCCCAGUAGCGGCGAGCGAACGGGGAGCAGCCCAGAGCCUGAAUCAGUGUGUGUGUUAGUGGAAGCGUCUGGAAAGGCGCGCGAUACAGGGUGACAGCCCCGUACACAAAAAUGCACAUGCUGUGAGCUCGAUGAGUAGGGCGGGACACGUGGUAUCCUGUCUGAAUAUGGGGGGACCAUCCUCCAAGGCUAAAUACUCCUGACUGACCGAUAGUGAACCAGUACCGUGAGGGAAAGGCGAAAAGAACCCCGGCGAGGGGAGUGAAAAAGAACCUGAAACCGUGUACGUACAAGCAGUGGGAGCACGCUUAGGCGUGUGACUGCGUACCUUUUGUAUAAUGGGUCAGCGACUUAUAUUCUGUAGCAAGGUUAACCGAAUAGGGGAGCCGAAGGGAAACCGAGUCUUAACUGGGCGUUAAGUUGCAGGGUAUAGACCCGAAACCCGGUGAUCUAGCCAUGGGCAGGUUGAAGGUUGGGUAACACUAACUGGAGGACCGAACCGACUAAUGUUGAAAAAUUAGCGGAUGACUUGUGGCUGGGGGUGAAAGGCCAAUCAAACCGGGAGAUAGCUGGUUCUCCCCGAAAGCUAUUUAGGUAGCGCCUCGUGAAUUCAUCUCCGGGGGUAGAGCACU
rnacentral:rRNA from 1 species